rnacentral:rRNA from 1 species
GCCCGGUGCUGGAAGGUUAAAAGGAGAUGUUAGUCGCAAGGCGAAGCUUUGAAUUGAAGCCCCAGUAAACGGCGGCCGUAACUAUAACGGUCCUAAGGUAGCGAAAUUCCUUGUCGGGUAAGUUCCGACCUGCACGAAUGGCGUAACGACUUGGGCACUGUCUCGGCAACAUGCUCGGCGAAAUAGUAGUUCGAGUGAAGAUGCUCGAUACCCGUAUCUAGACGAAAAGACCCCAUGAAGCUUUACUGCAAGUUGACACUGAACUUUGAUUUAACAUGUGUAGCAUAGGUGGGAGACUUUGAGAGGGGGGCGCAAGCUUCCCUGGAGUCGUUAGUGAAAUACCACUCUUGUUGUAUUGAAGUUCUAACCUAGAGCCGUGAUCCGGUUCAGGGACAAUGUCUGCUGGACAGUUUGACUGGGGCGGUCGCCUCCCAAAUUGUAACGGAGGCGCCCAAAGGUUCCCUCAGCGCGGUUGGAAAUCGCGCUUACGAGUGUAAAGGCAUAUGGGAGCUUAACUGCGAGACAGACAAGUCGAGCAGGUGCGAAAGCAGGGCUUAGUGAUCCGGCGGUACCUCGUGGGAGGGCCGUCGCUCAACGGACAAAAGCUACUCUGGGGAUAACAGGCUGAUCUUGCCCAAGAGUUCAUAUCGACGGCAAGGUUUGGCACCUCGAUGUCGNNUGAGACAGUUCGGUCUCUAUCUGGUACGGGCGUAGGACAUUUGAGGGGAGCUUUCCCUAGUACGAGAGGACCGGGAAGGACGUAUCUCUGGUACUCCUGUCAUCCUGCCAAGGGUGGUUGCAGGGUAGCUAUAUACGGACGAGAUAAACGCUGAACGCAUAUAAGCGUGAAACUUACCCCAAGAUGAGAUGUCCCGGGACAUAAGUCCCCUAAAGGCUCCACGUAGACUACGUGGUUGAUAGGCUGGGUGUGUAAGGCCCGCAAGGGUUUAAGCUGACCAGUACUAAUCCGCCGUGAGGCUUGAUCAU